rnacentral:rRNA from 1 species
AACGAACGCUGGCGGCAGGCUUAACACAUGCAAGUCGAACGCAUCGCAAGAUGAGUGGCAGACGGGUGAGUAACGCGUGGGAAUCUACCCAGAUCUACGGAACAACAGAGGGAAACUUCUGCUAAUACCGUAUACGCCCUACGGGGGAAAGAUUUAUCGGAUUUGGAUGAGCCCGCGUAAGAUUAGCUAGUUGGUGGGGUAAUGGCCUACCAAGGCGACGAUCUUUAGCUGGUCUGAGAGGAUGAUCAGCCACACUGGGACUGAGACACGGCCCAGACUCCUACGGGAGGCAGCAGUGGGGAAUAUUGGACAAUGGGCGCAAGCCUGAUCCAGCCAUGCCGCGUGAGUGAUGAAGGCCUUAGGGUUGUAAAGCUCUUUCACCGAUGAAGAUAAUGACGGUAGUCGGAGAAGAAGCCCCGGCUAACUUCGUGCCAGCCGCCGCCGUAAGAC